rnacentral:rRNA from 2 species
GUAUUUUGACUAUACGAAGGUAUUGAAAUAAGGCUUUAAAUGAGUGCUAAGAGAAUGGUUGAACAAUUAUAGGCUUUCUUUAAUUAAUAAAUUGAAGUUAAUGUUUUUGUGAAGAAGCAGGAAUGAAGAUUAGGGACAAGAAGACCCUAUGAAUUUUAUAAUUAAAAUAUAAAUUAUUUUUUAUAUUUUUUAAUUUUAAUUGGGGCGAUGAGAAAAGAAUAAUUAUCUUUUUUUUUAAGGAAUUAAUUUGAUCCAUUAAUAGUGAUUAGAUGAUUAAAAUACUCUAGGGAUAACAGCGUAAUAAUUUCGGAUAGUUCAUAUAGAUGGAAUAGUUUGCGACCUCGAUGUUGGAUUAGGAUACUUUUUUGGUGGAGA